rnacentral:rRNA from 1 species
GACGAACGCUGGCGGCGUGCCUAAUACAUGCAAGUUGAGCGCUGAAGGUUGGUACUUGUACCGACUGGAUGAGCAGCGAACGGGUGAGUAACGCGUGGGGAAUCUGCCUUUGAGCGGGGGACAACAUUUGGAAACGAAUGCUAAUACCGCAUAAAAACUUUAAACACAAGUUUUAAGUUUGAAAGAUGCAAUUGCAUCACUCAAAGAUGAUCCCGCGUUGUAUUAGCUGGUUGGUGAGGUAAAGGCUCACCAAGGCGAUGAUACAUAGCCGACCUGGGAGGGUGAUCGGCCACAUUGGGACUGAGACACGGCCCAAACUCCUACGGGAGGCAGCAGUAGGGAAUCUUCGGCAAUGGACGAAAGUCUGACCGAGCAACGCCGCGUGAGUGAAGAAGGUUUUCGGAUCGUAAAACUCUGUUGGUAGAGAAGAACGUUGGUGAGAGUGGAAAGAUCAUCAAGUGACGGUAACUACCCAGAAAGGGACGGCUAACUACGUGCCAGCCGCCGCAGUAA